UGCAAGUCGAACGAGCUUCCGUUGAAUGACGUGCUUGCACUGAUUUCAACAAUGAAGCGAGUGGCGAACUGGUGAGUAACACGUGGGAAAUCUGCCCAGAAGCAGGGGAUAACACUUGGAAACAGGUGCUAAUACCGUAUAACAACAAAAUCCGCAUGGAUUUUGUUUGAAAGGUGGCUUCGGCUAUCACUUCUGGAUGAUCCCGCGGCGUAUUAGUUAGUUGGUGAGGUAAAGGCCCACCAAGACGAUGAUACGUAGCCGACCUGAGAGGGUAAUCGGCCACAUUGGGACUGAGACACGGCCCAAACUCCUACGGGAGGCAGCAGUAGGGAAUCUUCCACAAUGGACGAAAGUCUGAUGGAGCAAUGCCGCGUGAGUGAAGAAGGGUUUCGGCUCGUAAAACUCUGUUGUUAAAGAAGAACACCUUUGAGAGUAACUGUUCAAGGGUUGACGGUAUUUAACCAGAAAGCCACGGCUAACUACGUGCCAGCAGCCGCGGUAAUACGUAGGUGGCAAGCGUUGUCCGGAUUUAUUGGGCGUAAAGCGAGCGCAGGCGGUUUUUUAAGUCUGAUGUGAAAGCCUUCGGCUUAACCGGAGAAGUGCAUCGGAAACUGGGAGACUUGAGUGCAGAAGAGGACAGUGGAACUCCAUGUGUAGCGGUGGAAUGCGUAGAUAUAUGGAAGAACACCAGUGGCGAAGGCGGCUGUCUAGUCUGUAACUGACGCUGAGG
rnacentral:rRNA from 1 species